UUUUGGGUCAGCCCACCCUCAUGCAUCAAGGAUGUAUUUUUCUUUGCUUGCCAAAUGAAACAACUGUAACACUGGUCCAUCCAUCUCUUUAAUUUUUUGCUGCAGCAAGACAAAGCAGAGGAAAUUACACACUUCCCCAACAAAAAUGGUGCCCUGACUCAGAUUUAACCUGGCUGAAACAACCUCUGCUUGGCCCCUAUGAGGCUGAGGCCAAGCACAGCAGAAGCCCAACUCGGAGAAAGCUCCCACAGUGCAAGCUGAACAUGAAGAAAAUCCAGCGCAGUGGAAGUGACAAGCCCAGCAUGCUGGAAACCAGGACAACAGAAACAAACUCAUCCGAAAGCUCGCACAGUUCAGUCUCUGUUUCCAGGAGACCUCCGGUUAAGAUGGGAAAUAACCAGUCCACUUCCCAACAGAUGCCCUUGAGAUGCAUCCUUGAUAACUGGAAGAUUUUCAAUCCUCUAACUCUAAGGAGAGUAAGUAACUCAACAGGACUGAAGCAGCCCACUCCAGCCGGCCCGCCUGUCACCAUCAUGAGGCUAGAGCCAAGGAUGCAAGUGCAUGAGGCAGGUAGGCCCAAGAAUUUCUUAGUUAACACACGGGCUACCUACUCUGUCCUGCCUUCCUACUCUGGAGCCUUCUCCUCCAAGAUCUG
rnacentral:lncRNA from 1 species